ACUUGGUGUUCCCUAUUCAAAGCUUGGCAUCGACUUCCACUUAGGCACCUGCUGGAGCAACCAUUAAUAAGUGUCAGGCGCCUCGGCAUCGUUCUAUCUUGAAUACUCUUUCUUCCUCCUUGUAGCUCCCGAAACGGAUGCUUCCUCCUUGUAGUUUAGUUCCCGAAACGGAUGGUUUAGUUGUUCGUGGUGCCUAUAUGUAUGUAUUUGAUUGGAUUGAUUCUCGAACGGUGGAGCAUAGUUCAAAUCGAGCCGUUGAAGCCACGAAGUGCCCCAUCUUCAGGUGGUUUUCCCAUUCGGGCUAGAUAAACGGACCCUUCUCUGCCCUAGAUAGACAUGUUCCAUGAAACCCGUUUUGUGUAGGAAAUAGGGUUUCUCCCUUAUCUAGCUACUCGAGAGGUAGGUUCGGGUUUGGAUUUGAUAUCAACUUCUCUAUUAUCGUACUACUUUCUCCUCUGCAGUCUGUCGUUUUAGCAGUCUUUAUCAUAUCAUGUACUUUCCCUUUCUCAUAUCAUGUACUUUCCUUUGAAAACAUAGGAGUUAUUGGAGUCUUCCUUUUCACUAGUGCU
rnacentral:lncRNA from 1 species